UGGCUCAGAACGAACGCUGGCGGCAUGCCUUACACAUGCAAGUCGAACGGCAGCAUGGAGGAGCUUGCUCCUCUGAUGGCGAGUGGCGAACGGGUGAGUAAAGCAUCGGAACGUGCCGUGUAGUGGGGGAUAACGUAGCGAAAGUUACGCUAAUACCGCAUACGCACCGAGGUGGAAAGCAGGGGAUCGCAAGACCUUGCGCUAUACGAGCGGCCGAUGUCAGAUUAGCUAGUUGUUUGCGUAAAGGCCUACGANGACGACGAUCUGUAGCGGGUCUGAGAGGAUGAUCCGCCAC
rnacentral:rRNA from 1 species